AGGGUUCGAUUCUGGCUCAGAACGUACGCUGGCGGCACGCCUAACACAUGCAAGUCGAACGAAGUAGCAAUACUUAGUGGCAGACGGGUGAGUAACAUGUAGGUAUCUGCCCUUUGGCCUGGAAUAACACGAGGAAACUUGUGCUAAUACCGGAUAAGUCUUUACGGAGAAAGCUUUAUGCACCAUUGGAUGAGCCUGCACUUGAUUAGUUUGUUGGUGGGGUAAUGGCCUACCAAGACUGUGAUCAAUAGCUGAUUUGAGAGGAUGAUCAGCCACAUUGGGACUGAGACACGGCCCAAACUCCUACGGGAGGCAGCAGUGGGGAAUCUUGCACAAUGGAGGAAACUCUGAUGCAGCGAUGCCGCGUGAGUGAAGAAGGCCCUUGGGUUGUAAAGCUCUUUCGUCGGGGAAGAAAAUGACUGUACCCGAAUAAGAAGGUCCGGCUAACUUCGUGCCAGCAGCCGCGGUAAUACGAAGGGACCUAGCGUAGUUCGGAAUUACUGGGCUUAAAGAGUUCGUAGGUGGUUGAAAAAGUUGGUGGUGAAAUCCCAGAGCUUAACUCUGGAACUGCCAUCAAAACUUUUCAGCUAGAGUAUGAUAGAGGAAAGCAGAAUUUCUAGUGUAGAGGUGAAAUUCGUAGAUAUUAGAAAGAAUACCGAUUGCGAAGGCAGCUUUCUGGAUCAUUACUGACACUGAGGAACGAAAGCAUGGGUAGCGAAGAGGAUUAGAUACCCUCGUAGUCCAUGCCGUAAACGAUGUGUGUUAGACGUUGGAAAUUUAUUUUCAGUGUCGCAGCGAAAGCGAUAAACACACCGCCUGGGGAGUACGACCGCAAGGUUAAAACUCAAAUGAAUUGACGGGGACCCGCACAAGUAGUGGAGCAUGUGGUUUAAUUCGAAGAUACGCGCAGAACCUUACCAACACUUGACAUGUUCGUCGCGACUCUAAGAGAUUAGAGUUUUCGGUUCGGCCGGACGAAACACAGGUGCUGCAUGGCUGUCGUCAGCUCGUGUCGUGAGAUGUUGGGUUAAGUCCCGCAACGAGCGCAACCCUCACUUUUAGUUGCCAUCAUUAAGUUGGGCACUCUGAAAGAACUGCCAGUGAUAAGCUGGAGGAAGGUGGGGAUGACGUCAAGUCCUCAUGGCCCUUACGUGUUGGGCUACACACGUGCUACAAUGGUAUCUACAGCAGGAAGCAAGACUGCGAAGUCAAGCAAAUCCUUAAAAGAUACCUCAGUUCGGAUUGCACUCUGCAACUCGAGUGCAUGAAGCUGGAAUUACUAGUAAUCGUGGAUCAGCGUGCCACGGUGAAUGCGUUCCCGGGUCUUGUACACACCGCCCGUCACACCAUGGGAGUUGGUUCUACCUUAAGGCAAGGUUUUAAACCCUUGACCACGGUAUAGUCAGCGACUGGGGUGAAGUCGUAACAAGGUAACC
rnacentral:rRNA from 1 species